CACGUAGGGCGCAAGCGUUGUCCGGAAUUAUUGGGCGUAAAGAGCUCGUAGGCGGUCUGUUGCGUCCGCUGUGAAAACUCGGGGCUUAACCCCGAGCCUGCAGUGGAUACGGGCAGACUAGAGGUAGGUAGGGGAGAAUGGAAUUCCCGGUGUAGGGGUGAAAUCCGUUGAUAUCGUGGGGAACACCAAAGGCGAAGGCAGUGCACUGGGACCUUCCUGACUCUGAGAUGCGAAAGCGUGGGGAGCAAAAAGG
rnacentral:rRNA from 1 species